UGAAAGGCUAAAGCCUGAAGAAGAUUGAACUAUUUGAUUUCCAUGGAUGGCAAAGAAAGAAAAUGUUCUUAUAAAGUACAUUUCAGAAUUGGGUUUCCAGCUCAAAACAAGCAGCAAUGGGUGUCCUGUGAUAUUGUGCAGCUCAUCACUGAUGAGUAAAUGGCAAGUUACUGAAAAUAGUCAUCAUUGUACUCCCUUUAUAGCACGCCUUUGCUUUGAAUGUCAUCUAGCAUUCUUAGCAGGAGCAUCCUGUAUGUCUUGAUUUAAGAUAGCAGAGCUCAAUUGUGCUGAAUGACCUUUUGAAAAUAAUGAUUUGCUGCUUAUUCAUGGUGCAUGUUGCUCUUAAAAUUACUGUUAAUAUUUGUAUUGUCUCUGAGCCUCCAAAAUUGCACUCAUAAGUGUUCAAAGUUGUACUGAGAAUAUUUCUUCCUGAACUCUGGGGCACCCCAAAGUGAUAGCAGAUUGUGUAGGUAGAAUUAGAAAUAAUAAAGAGAAGGUCAGAAA